GUGCCAGCAGCCGCGGUAAUACGUAUGUCCCGAGCGUUAUCCGGAUUUAUUGGGCGUAAAGCGAGCGCAGACGGUUAAUUAAGUCUGAUGUGAAAGCCCGGAGCUCAACUCCGGAAAGGCAUUGGAAACUGGUUAACUUGAGUGCAGUAGAGGUAAGUGGAACUCCAUGUGUAGCGGUGGAAUGCGUAGAUAUAUGGAAGAACACCAGCGGCGAAGGCGGCUUACUGGACUGUAACUGACGUUGAGGCUCGAAAGUGUGGGUAGCAAACAGGAUUAGAUACCCUGGUAGUCCACACCGUAAACGAUGAACACUAGGUGUUAGGAGGUUUCCGCCUCUUAGUGCCGAAGCUAACGCAUUAAGUGUUCCGCCUGGGGAGUACGACCGCAAGGUUGAAACUCAAAGGAAUUGACGGGGACCCGCACAAGCCGUGGAGCAUGUGGUUUAAUUCGAAGCAACGCGAAGAACCUUACCAGGUCUUGACAUCCUUUGAAGCUUUUAGAGAUAGAAGUGUUCUCUUCGGAGACAAAGUGACAGGUGGUGCAUGGUCGUCGUCAGCUCGUGUCGUGAGAUGUUGGGUUAAGUCCCGCAACGAGCGCAACCCUUAUUGUUAGUUGCCAGCAUUCAGAUGGGCACUCUAGCGAGACUGCCGGUGACAAACCGGAGGAAGGCGGGGACGACGUCAGAUCAUCAUGCCCCUUAUGACCUGGGCUACACACGUGCUACAAUGGCGUAUACAACGAGUUGCCAACCUGUGAAGGUGAGCUAAUCUCUUAAAGUACGUCUCAGUUCGGACUGCAGUCUGCAACUCGACUGCACGAAGUCGGAAUCGCUAGUAAUCGCGGAUCAGCACGCCGCGGUGAAUACGUUCCCGGGUCUUGUACACACCGCCCGU
rnacentral:rRNA from 1 species